UGAGGUUACGGAUCCUUCGGGAGUCCGUGUACCGAGGCUAAGUGAAUUAACGUUUAAGCGCGCUGUAAGCACGCCACCCCUCGGGGAGAAGCCGCCUAUAUAGAAAUUGGCGGCUUCUUUUUUGCUU
rnacentral:ncRNA from 1 species